rnacentral:rRNA from 1 species
AGAGUUUGAUCCUGGCUCAGGACGAACGCUUGCGACGUGCCUAAGAAAUGCAAGUCGAGCGAGGCAGCAAUGCCUAGCGGCGAACGGUCGCGUAACACGUAAGCAACCUGCCCCAAAGACCGGGACAACGUUCCGAAAGGAGCGCUAAUACCGGAUGUGCCCGUCGGGUGACAUCGCCUGAUGAGUAAAUCGAGCAAUCGGCUUUGGGAGGGGCUUGCGGCCUAUCAGCUAGAUGGUGGGGUAACGGCCUACCAUGGCGACGACGGGUAGCUGGUCUGAGAGGAUGGUCAGCCGGAUUGGGACUGAGAUACGGCCCAGACUCCUACGGGGGGCAGCAAUUAGGAAUCUUGCGCAAUGGGCGAAAGCCUGACGCAGCGACGUCGCGUGGGGGAGGAAGGCUUUCGGGUUGUAAACCCCUUUUAUCGAGGAAGAAACAAAUGACGGUACUCGAUGAAUAAGCCCCGGCUAACUCCGUGCCAGCAGCCGCGGUAAUACGGAGGGGGCUAGCGUUGUCCGAAGUUACUGGGCGUAAAGCGCGCGUAGGCGGGUUGGUAAGUCCGCUGUGAAAGCCCGGAGCUUAACUCCGGAGGGUCGGUGGAUACUGCCAGUCUUGAAGGUGCUAGGGGGAGAUGGAAUUACCGGUGUAGCGGUGAAAUGCGUAGAUAUCGGUAGGAACACCAGUGGCGAAGGCGGUCUCCUGGGGCAUUCUUGACGCUGAGGCGCGAAAGCUGGGGGAGCAAACGGGAUUAGAUACCCUAGUAGUCC